rnacentral:lncRNA from 1 species
GACAAUGCUUUAAACCUGUAACACGCCAGAGCGUAUCCUUCUCCUGGUGAAUGGGGCAUGGCAUCAGGGUGCUGAUGAUGAGAGAGUGUGGAGACCCAGACAUGAUCCCCAUCUACAGAGGCAUCUCCUACACAUGUCAAGCCUUGCAACUAUUUUUCCAAGUCUACUAGGCUGCAAUAGCCGGAGUCAUGGGAUUUUAACAGGCUGGUUUCCUGAGCAGGAGGAAGGCACCUCCAUUGGUUU